rnacentral:rRNA from 1 species
CCUACGGGCGGCAGCAGUGAGGAAUAUUGGUCAAUGGACGGGAGUCUGAACCAGCCAAGUAGCGUGAAGGAUGACUGCCCUAUGGGUUGUAAACUUCUUUUAUCUGGGAAUAAAAUGUUCCACGUGUGCGCUUUUGUAUGUACCCUGUGAAUAAGGCUCGGCUAACUCCGUUCCAACAGACGCGGUUAUUCGGGGGAUCCGAACGUUAUCCGGGUUUAUUGGGGUUAAAGGGAGGGUAGGGCGAUUUUUUAGGCAGUUGGUAAAGUGUGCGGCGCAACCGUAAAAUUGCAGUUGAAACUGGGAGUCUUGAGUAGAGUAGAGGUGGGCGGAAUGCGUGGUGUAGCGGUGAAAUGCAUAGAUAUCACGCAGAACUCCGAUUGCGAAGGCAGCUCACUGGACUGCAACUGACACUGAGGCACGAAAGCGUGGGUAUCAAACAGGAUUAGAUACCCCUGUAGUC